UACGUAGGGCGCAAGCGUUGUCCGGAAUUAUUGGGCGUAAAGAGCUCGUAGGCGGUCUGUUACGUCCGCUGUGAAAACCCAGGGCUUAACCCUGGGCUUGCAGUGGAUACGGGCAGACUAGAGGCAGGUAGGGGAGAAUGGAAUUCCCGGUGUAGCGGUGAAAUGCGCAGAUAUCGGAAGGAACGCCCGUGGCGAAAGCGAGGCCCUGGACCCUUACUGACGCUGAGACGCGAAAGCCAGGGGAGCGAACGGG
rnacentral:rRNA from 1 species